CAGUAGCCACGGUAAUACGAAGGGGGCUAGCGUUGCUCGGAAUGACUGGGCGUAAAGGGCGCGUAGGCGGAUUGUUUAGUUAGGCGUGAAAUUCCUGGGCUUAACCUGGGGACUGCGCUUAAUACAGGCAGUCUAGAGUGAGGAAGAGGGUUGUGGAAUUCCCGGUGUAGAGGUGAAAUUCGUAGAUAUUGGGAAGAAUACCGAUGGCGAAGGCAGCCCCCUGGGCCAAUACUGACGCUCAUGCACGAAAGCGUGGGGAGCAAACAGGAUUAGAUACCCCAGUAGUCCCUGUCUCUUAUAC
rnacentral:rRNA from 1 species